AGAGUUUGAUCAUGGCUCAGAUUGAACGCUGGCGGCAUGCCUUACACAUGCAAGUCGAACGGCAGCACGGGGCAACCUGGUGGCGAGUGGCGAACGGGUGAGUAAUGUAUCGGAACGUACCUUUCAGUGGGGGAUAACGUAGCGAAAGUUACGCUAAUACCGCAUAUUCUGUGAGCAGGAAAGCAGGGGAUCGCAAGACCUUGCGCUGAUUGAGCGGCCGAUAUCAGAUUAGCUAGUUGGUGAGGUAAAGGCUCACCAAGGCGACGAUCUGUAGCGGGUCUGAGAGGAUGAUCCGCCACACUGGAACUGAGACACGGUCCAGACUCCUACGGGAGGCAGCAGUGGGGAAUUUUGGACAAUGGGCGCAAGCCUGAUCCAGCCAUGCCGCGUGAGUGAAGAAGGCCUUCGGGUUGUAAAGCUCUUUCAGCCGGGAAGAAAACGCAUGGGUUAAUACCCUGUGUGGAUGACGGUACCGGAAUAAGAAGCACCGGCUAACUACGUGCCAGCAGCCGCGGUAAUACGUAGGGUGCGAGCGUUAAUCGGAAUUACUGGGCGUAGAGCGUGCGCAGGCGGUUUUGUAAGACAGGCGUGAAAUCCCCGGGCUCAACCUGGGAACUGCGUUUGUGACUGCAAGGCUAGAGUAUGGCAGAGGGGGGGUGGAAAUUCCACGUGUAGCAGUGAAAUGCGUAGAGAUGUGGAGGAACACCGAUGGCGAAAGCAGCCCCCUGGGCCAAUACUGACGCUCAUGCACGAAAGCGUGGGUAGCAAACAGGAUUAGAUACCCUGGUAGUCCACGCCCUAAACGAUGUC
rnacentral:rRNA from 1 species